GUCCCAGUUGUCAGAUGCAUGUUGGGCACCCAACCGAGCUAGAGAGAAUUCAGAUCUCUUAAUAUAUAAGGGUUAUCCUUCUCAAGCAAGAGUGAGAAAGAAUUUCUUCAUUCCUCAUCUCUAUAAUUUUAGUUUUCUCAUUGAGAGGUAUGUCAUGUGUUUCUCUAAAUGCUGAUUAAGUCUGGAAUGUUUGAGGUCAAUAUCAACCCAAAUUUUAUAUGGUAAAUAUUUUUUUGCUCUACAAAUAGAUGUCCUUUAACACCUAUAGUUUUCAGAUUUGAUUUCUUUUACCGAGUUUAGUUUGUUUUGAUUUAAUUAGAACUGGUGAAGGGAGUGGUACAAGAUAGGUCAUCAAUUUUAAGUCCAAGAGCUAUAUCAAUUUUCUUCUUUUAUGCACUGAAAAAGACCUAGUGGAAACGAUAAUCCUCCUUAAGGAGAAUUCACACAUUCCAUCUAGUGCUCUAAAUGCAUAAAAGAAAUUAAAAAAAUGGUGGUAUCUACUAUAAGGAGAGUUCUGAACAAAGUACCACAUUAGUUUGGCAUCCUAUUCACCGUUGGAUAUUAUCAUUUUUGGGUCAAAGGCGAGAGAUGAGAUUUACCACAUCAAAUGGUGAACACUAGGGAUACAUGAUGCUAAUGUGAUCUCCAUCCAGUCUCUUUGUUGCAAGAAGAGGUAUCCAAUUUUUGAAGGAUAAAAUGCAAGAAUUUGCAGAGAAGCCAGGGUGGAUGAAUCAAAUUUGUAGCUCCGAGUUAUUCAGGGCCCGACUAGAGGUUGCUGCACAGGAGUCUUGUGUGUGUGUGUGUGUGUGUGUGUGUGUAUGCUGGUGUGUUUACGAAGUUACGGCAGCUUUAUGAUCCUCUCAUAGGCUUUGGAUGACACAACCUGAUCUGCCCAAGAGACCAAAGUUCCUGAAAGAUUUCGUGAUAAGCAUAAAACCCAUCACUCAAUAAGCAGUUGCCGCGUGGCACCCGACAACUCAUCAUCCAAACCAGAUGAAAACUAAAGAUAUCUGCGGGAAGUAAGUAACCUCGGAUCUGGGAUCCAAGGAAGAUCUGUCCUUCCCUCGAUUACAGAAUCACAGACAGACUCAAUCUCUCUAAGAGGGAAAGAGCAGGAGCAAUUUCCCUUGGACAGAGGGAUACUCUACGUUCAAGAAAGGAACUCGUGGAGGCACUUGGUUUUUGUAUCCAGGGGUAGCUGUUUGUGCUUGGUAGCGUGGACAUAUGAUCCCAUCCUCGACAUUGGGAUCGGUGAGCAUCUGCUAGUACCUUGUUCCAUGGGCAGUCAGCAGUACUGUUCUUGGAGAAUGGUGGGUGUCAAAGCCUAGGAGUGGUUGAAGGACCCAAAGGCAGUAACGAGGUCGUUUUCAAUUUGGAUAAGGAGCCAUGGAUAUGGAAAACAGUGGCAGAAGUGGUGAUUGCUUGUACUUUUAUGCUGGAUUUUACAAUGAUCGAAAUAAGAGAUGAACUUUAUUGGAGAGGAAGAAAUCUAUGUCGUUACAAUUGGAAUCUAGAGACCAACUUUACACCAUCUCCCCUCCCGUACGUGGGAAUGGCUUCCAUACUCCAUAUACGGGUGUGCAAUGUUGAGGAUCUAAUGAUGCAUUUGUCUUGACUUUGUGGAGAACUUGUGGUACUAUUACCACUAGUUUUUGUCGGUUUCAGUUACUCAACUAGAUUUUGUAGCUUAAAAGUUCAGGGAAAACAGUACCACCACAAGUUCUCGACUAAGUCAAGACAAAAGCAACAUUAGAUCUCAACGUAGCACACCCGCAUAUUGAUAAUGGAAGCCAUUCUCACGUAUGGGAGAGGAGAUGGCACAAUGUUGGUCUCUUGCUCCCAACUAUAACGACAUAGAUUUCUUCUUCUUUAAUCAUGUAAAGCUCCUCUCUUAUUCCGAUCGUUGUAAAAUAAAAUCCAGCAUAAAAGUACGAACAAUCAACUGGUGCAGUUGCCACCAUUUUUUCGUAUCAUUGGCUCAUUGUCAAGCUUGACUACGACCCCAUUGUUCAUUGCCUUUACCAAAAGGGAGGCACUAUAUUUUCCGGAUGAGAUCCAAUUAUUGAUUAAAAAAGAUUCCGAUCUGGUGAUUUACUAUAGAAUGUAGUUGUCCUUCUUUUCAUAUUUGUACUCGGGUUUUCUCCUAUUUUGGCGGGACCUAUCCUGCCGUUUUAGUGACCCUUUUCCCUCUCUUGUCAUUCCUGGAGAGGGUUUUUAGGGUUGCUUUCCUGUGUAAUCUCUUUUAUCAUUUUAAUAAAUCAUACAUUUACCUA